rnacentral:rRNA from 1 species
GACGAACGCUGGCGGCGUGCUUAACACAUGCAAGUCGAACGAGAGCGUAGAGAAAGCUUGCUUUUUCUACAAUCUAGUGGCAAACGGGUGAGUAACGCGUAAACAACCUGCCCUACGGAUGGGGACAACAGCUGGAAACGGCUGCUAAUACCGAAUACGUUCCGAAAGUCGCAUGACUAUCGGAAGAAAGGAUGGCCUCUAUUUAUAAGCUAUCGCCGGAGGAGGGGUUUGCGUCUGAUUAGCUAGUUGGAGGGGUAACGGCCCACCAAGGCGACGAUCAGUAGCCGGUCUGAGAGGAUGAACGGCCACAUUGGAACUGAGACACGGUCCAGACUCCUACGGGAGGCAGCAGUGGGGAAUCUUCCGCAAUGGGCGAAAGCCUGACGGAGCAACGCCGCGUGAGUGAAGACGGCCUUCGGGUUGUAAAGCUCUGUUAUACGGGACGAAUAAUCUUGUGGUUAAUACCCAUGAGAAGUGACGGUACCGUAAGAGAAAGCCCGGC